GAAAACAAGACACCAAGUCCCCAAGACCCCUGAUCCAGGAGCUCAGCGACGAGGACCCCUCUGGCCAGCUACUGAUGCCCCCCACCUGCCAAAGAGAUGCUGCACCACUCACUUCCAGUGGAGACAGGGACAGCGACUUCCUUGCAGCCUCUUCUCCGGCUGCCAAGUGUAUUUAGUCCCUGAACCUGGAUCCAAGGCAUCUCCCUGUAGGAAACAUCAGACCGGGGCAGAGAUUGACAAAGCAACCCACAACAGCAGCUGCCAACGGCCGCUGUGCCCACCUCAUCAGCAGCUCUGCAGGGGCCUCACUCCACCCUCACCAAACACGAGGAGCCAGCACUCCUGGCCCCCAUUCCACUGGACAGGAAGGCGUGAGAACUGAGGGACCUGCCUGAGGCCCCCACAGCUGAGGCGCAGCGGAGCCCUGCCUCCCAGCACAGACUAAAAUCCCAGCAACACAGGCCCACCGGCACCUCCAGCCUGCCUUGCGGGAUGAUCUUCAGGCGAAUAUACAAAAUACAAAAGAAACUACUACUG
rnacentral:lncRNA from 1 species